rnacentral:rRNA from 1 species
ACAGCAGCCGCCGCGGGAAUACAGAGGGUGCGAGCGUUAAUCGGAUUUACUGGGCGUAAAGCGUGCGUAGGCGGCUUCUUAAGUCGGAUGUGAAAUCCCUGAGCUUAACUUAGGAAUUGCAUUCGAUACUGGGAAGCUAGAGUAUGGGAGAGGAUGGUAGAAUUCCAGGUGUAGCGGUGAAAUGCGUAGAGAUCUGGAGGAAUACCGAUGGCGAAGGCAGCCAUCUGGCCUAAUACUGACGCUGAGGUACGAAAGCAUGGGGAGCAAACAGGAUUAGAGACCCCGUAGUCCCUGUCUCUUAUACA